GCGGUCUUCGCGCGACCCACUUCCGGGCCCUCACUGGGCGCGGCACCCCCACCGGAAAUGAGCCACCGGCUGUAACGCUAGCCCCGGAGAAAGGAAGAAGUUUGGCCGCUCGGCUCGUGACUCCGCCCCCAUUCCCCGCCACCGGAGAAUCUAGCCUAGGAGCGCUAGGGAAGGGCUCCGCCCCCAAGGAAGGGGGUGGAGACCACGGGGAGGGGGCGUGCCCACGGCCGGUCACGCCCCGAGGCUCAGACCAAUAAGGAGCUGGAGUUCCUAUCCAAGCCCCACCUCCGUAAAGGAGGACAGGUGAGAAAGUAACAGCAGAUAAAGAGCACACCCUCCAGAGCUGAGGGCAGAGCAAGUCAAGAAACUGGCUCCACAGACCAAGCAACCUUGAGCUCACAGACUGGCCUCAGAGUUCAGUAAUCAAAGGCAUGCGUCACCACCGCCUGGCUUGGAGCAACCCUUAAAGGUUCCUUCUUAGGCCCUUAUUUCUUGCUCUUUCCGAAAUGCUCAGGAAACAAUAUGCCACACACUACUGAGCAGCGUGGAAGCAAAGCUGAGUCCAGAUGGGCAGAGUCUGCCGAAGAGUUACCAAAGAUGAGGACAGAUGCAAAACAAGCCAUUAGGACCGACGAGACUCACUAAAUGUUGCCAAUCCAAAGUUCGGAAGACCAAGAAAAGACAACCGACAGAGCCGACGUCAUGGAGCUAGCUGAUCCCUGAGGAAACCCUACUUCCUGUGCAGCUUGAAAGAUGGAUGUGAGGUAGCAGGUGACUGGAUCAGAGAAGAGCUGCGCAGAGCAGGAACAGCACUAAGGUCAGAAAGUGAUAGGACGCAGAAAGCACAGUCAAGACUGUAAGAAGAGAGCAGUGUGGCUGAGUACAAGAAUAAAGGGAAAGAACAGGAAGUGACGAGGUAGCAGCAGCUGGACCCGGCGGUGCCGGCCUUUAAUCCCAGCUACAGGUGAGGCUGAGGCAGGAGGAUUACAAGUUGA